CUACGGGGCGCUCCAGUCGAGAAUCUUCCUCAAUGGGCGAGAGCCUGAAGGAGCGACGCCGCGUGUGGGAUGAAGCCUUUCGGGGUGUAAACCACUUUUCUUGUCGAUAAAUAUUGAUAGUAGACUUUGGAAUAAGAGGCUGCUAAUUCCGUGCCAGCAGCAGCGGUUACACGGAAGCCUCAAGCGUUGUCCGGAAUAAUUGGGCGUAAAGCGUCUGUAGGUGGUUUGAAUUGUCGGUUAUUAAAUCUUACGGCUUAACCGUAAGGCUGUAACCGAAACGUUCAAACUUGAGUAUUCGAGGGGUACAUGGAACGUAUAGUGUAGCAGUGACAAGCAUUGAUAUUAUACGGAACACCAAUGGCGAAGGCAUUGUACUGGCGAAUUACUGACACUGAGAGACGAAAGCGUGGGUAGCGAAUGGGAUUAGAUACCCCAGUAGUC
rnacentral:rRNA from 1 species